rnacentral:tRNA from 1 species
GACGGGAUGGCAGAGUUGGUUUGCGGCAGAUUGUAAAUUUGUUUAUAGGGGUUCGAGUCCUUUUUUCGUUA